CAGUAGCCACGGGAAUACGAAGGGGGCUAGCGUUGUUCGGAAUUACUGGGCGUAAAGGGCGCGUAGGCGGCCAUUCAAGUUAGAUGUGAAAGCCCUGGGCUCAACCUAGGAAUUGCAUUUGAUACUGUUUGGCUUGAGUUCGGGAGAGGUGAGUGGAAUUCCCAGUGUAGAGGUGAAAUUCGUAGAUAUUGGGAAGAACACCAGUGGCGAAGGCGGCUCACUGGACCGACACUGACGCUGAGGCGCGAAAGCGUGGGGAGCAAACAGGAUUAGAUACCCCCGUAGUCCCUGUCUCUUAUCC
rnacentral:rRNA from 1 species